GACGUGACUUCAGAGUUUGAUCCUGGCUCAGGACGAACGCUGGCGGCGUGCUUAACACAUGCAAGUCGAACGGAGUGAAACGCUGAUUUGAUGGUAGCUUGCUACUGGAUUUUCUUGUUUCACUUAGUGGCGGACGGGUGAGUAACGCGUGAGUAACCUGCCUCUAAGUGGGGAAUAACGUUCUGAAAAGAACGCUAAUACCGCAUAAUGUUAUAAUACCGCAUGGUAUCUUAACCAAAGAUUUAUCGCUUAGAGAUGGACUCGCGUCCGAUUAGCUAGUUGGUGGGGUAACGGCCUACCAAGGCGACGAUCGGUAGCCGGACUGAGAGGUUGAACGGCCACAUUGGGGCUGAGACACGGCCCAG
rnacentral:rRNA from 1 species